UAUUUAUACGGAUUCAAGUAACCUUACCCUAAGAUAAAAUAAAGAAUUAACACUUUAUUGCAAAUUGAGUAGUGCUAUAAAUUUUAAAUUUUUUAUCCCAAAAAAAUUUUCAAGAUAAAGGAACCGGCAAACCGCUUUCCUGGUUGGGAUUUUCAUUGGCAAUAAAGGGUAGGCAGGACUGAGGAGGAAUGGAUUUAAUGGAAAAUUGGGAAAUGUGCUACUGCGGGCUGCCACUAACCACUAGGCCUGCAUCAUUUGAGUCCAUCAACAAUUUCAUAAAUUAAAAUCUGAGUUGGACUAUUGGCACCCUUCCAAAAUUCUUUUAAAACCCUUCCUCUGUUACAAUUACAUUUAAAGACAAAUACUUUAAUAUAUCUCACAUUUAUUUAUCUCACUUCAAACUUUUGUAUUUUCUCUCUUAAAAAAAAAAAUUCUUGUACU
rnacentral:lncRNA from 1 species